AUGACCUCGAGUUAGGUGAGAUUACUUGUUGAGUUUAAACAUAUCAAUAAAUGGAAAAAAAAACUUACUAAGAUUCCCUUAAUAACGGUGAGCAAAUCGAGAAAAGCCCAGCUUAAGAAUCGAGCCCCUUGACAUCUGAAUUAUAGUAUGGAGAAGUAUCCUUAGCGACAAAUCAGGCCUAAGCCCUUGGAAAGGGGUGCUAGAGAGGGUGAAAUCCUCAUUGUGUCUAAACCACAAGGCACUAUCUGUGAGUCAAGUUAUUUGGAAAUGCAACCCCAAUCAAGUGGUAAAUUCCCUAUAAGGCUGAAAUAGGUGAGAAAUUGAUAACAAACAAGUACCAUAGGGAAAGAUGAAAAAGGCAUUGAAAAGAGAGUCAAAGAGUGCUUGAAAUUAUUAAGAGGGAAACAAAUAAGGCCAAAGAUGCACCCUGGUUAUAUGUGGAAUGUGAGAGCUAGUCUGAUGAUCGACAUGAGGAUGAACUGACACGGUUUAUGAUACGAUGAUGACCUAAGUCUAGACUAUCAAUAUGCCUGGGUUGACAUUGUUACCAUGAUCAUGGAAUGCAACAUGCACCAUCUCAUUGUGCCUUGACACUCGCGUACUCCUUAUGUCGACUUGUGGGUUCCCCAUUUGGCUCAUUUUGAAAUAUGGGUAAAAAAGUCUAACAUGUGUAGAGUUAAUGGGCUAGAAAACCCAUGAGGUGUAAGAAAACUUAUUGGCAGGAUCUCUCACGAGUGUACCGCCAAUCAACCUUAAUAUUUUGAGAAAGGUUUGAGUGCAAGCAUGCCUGUUGGGACCUGAAAAAUGAUGAACUAUGCUUGAGCGGGGCAAAGCCAGAAGAAACUCUAGUGGAGGCCUACAGCAAUAUUGAUGUGCAAAUCAUUCAUUUGACUUAGGUAUAGAGGUGAAAAACUAAUCAAACCGUCUAGUGUCUAGUUCCGUUUGAAGUUUCCCUUAGGAUAGUUGGAAGCCUUAGCAAGUUCUAUUGGUGAAAGCCAUUGAUUAGAGGUAUUAGGGGGUAAUGCCAUUGACCUAUUCUCAAAUUUUAAAUAGGUAAGAUGGCAUGACUGAUUCAUUAAACCAUGCCACGAAAUCAAGAGCUCCAAUUGGGCCAAUUUUGAUAAGCAGAGCUGGUGACAAAGGAUGAACCAAAACCAAGUUAUGAUGCUUAUCUGUAUAUUAACCUAGAGCCCACAAAAAGGGUUGGUCGAUUAAGAUAGUAAGAUAAUGGUUAUCAAAGUAAAAAUCUACUAAAGAGUGUGUAACAACUCACCUGCCAAAUUAACUAGCCCCGAAAAUGGAUGGUGCUUUAGUGCAUGAACCAUACCCGACUGUCAGGGUAAGGGCCAAGCCUUGAUGAGUAAAAAGGUGUGACGAUCAUCACAAAACUCAGGGUACAAGCUUGGAUUGAGCAACUGUUAGUGUAGAUCUUGGUGGUAGUAGCAAAUAUUCAAAUGAGAACUUUGAAGGCUAAAGAUGAGAAAGGUUUCAUGUGAAUGGCACUUGCACAUGGGUUAGUUGAUCCUAAGAGAUGGGGAAAGCCCGUUCGAUAAUGCAUCCAAUGUGAGCUUUAAAAAAAAUUGGGUUAAAAUUCUUGAACCUUGACACAACAAUUGAUGGCAAUGUUAAGGAGUUGAAAGACAUCGAUGGAGGCCUUAGAAAGAGUUAUUUUUUCUGUUUAAUGACCUACCUACCUUGGAAAUGGCUUAGUCAGAGGUAAGGUCUAGCGAUCGAAAGAGCAUCACACAUCAUGCAACAUCCAAUACAUCUCCAAUAGCCUUUGAAAAUCUGGAGGACCAAGUACCAUCUGUGUUCGAUUGUACUCUUAACUGCAUCAGGUCUCAAAAGUGAACAGCCUUUAGUCGAUGGAAUAAUGUAAGCAAGAAAAGUCAACAAAAUGGAUCUAUAACCUAGGGAAAAGAAUUGGUUUUGAGGGCUGGGCACGAGGGUCUAGUCUCAAACCCUUGACUAUUGAUGCACUACUCGAGUUACUCCCACGAUAAUAGCAGGUCAUUGCAUGCAAGUCUAGGGUGGACUGGAACCAGUUCCUCUGAGAGCUUUCCUUGAGCAACAGACAGUUGACUCAAAAUUGGUACAAAUAAAAGGAAUUCAACUAUUUAAUUAAAAUAAAGCAUUACGAUGGUUCUUGCAAAUGCUCAUACAAUAUGAUUUUUGCCUAGUGCUCUAAAUGUCAAAGUGAAGAAAUUCAACCAAAUGUGUGUAAAAUGGUGAGAGUAACUAUGAGUCUCUUAAGGUAACCAAAUGCCUCGUCACCUAAUCAAUGACGUGCAUGAAUGGAUUAACGAGAUUUUUACUGUUUUUGUUUACUAUCUAGUGAAACCAUAGCUAAAAGAAUAGGCUUGGUGGAAUCAAUGAAGAAAAAAGAACCUGUUGAGCUUGACACUAGUUUGACUUUGUGAAAUGACUUAAGAGGUGUAGGAUAAGUGGGAAUCCUUAGGUAAAAUUGAAAUACCACUACUUUUAAAAUUAUUUUACUCAUUCUGUGAAUCGAAGGCAAGGCAUGACCCUUUUUUUUAGACUAAAGUUGACCUCGAUCAGUCAAUCCUGGUAGAAGACAUUGUUAGGUAGGGAGUUUGGCUGGGGCAGCAGAUCUAUUAAAAGAUAAUGCAAGUGUCCUAAGAUGAGCUCAAUGAGAAUAGAAAUAUCUUGUGGAAUAAAAGGGUAAAAGUUCAUUUGGUUAUGAUUUCUAGUAUGAAUAUGAACCAUCAAAGCAUGGCCUAUCAAUCUUUUAAACUUUCAAAAUUUGAAACUAGAGGUGUAAGAAAAGUUACCAUAAGGAUAACUUGCUUAUGGUAUCCAAGCGUUCAUAGCAACAUUACUUUUUAAACCUUCGAUGUCGGCUCUUCCUAUCAUUAUAAUGCAAAAUUCACCAAGUGUUAGAUUGUUUACCAACCAAUAAAGAACGUGAACUAGGUUUGGAUCAUUGUGAGAUAGGUUAGUUUUACCCCAUUGAUUGUAGCAUCGUAAUAGUAAUUUCACCUAGUACAAGAGGAACUGUUGAUUAAAACAAUUGGUCAUUGCACUUAGUUGAAAAGCUAGUGGUGCAAAGAUAUCGUGCAAUGGAUUAUGACUGAAUGCCUUUAAGUUAAAAUCCAGGCUAGAAGUGAUGCACAUGCCCAUCACCUGAUUGCUUAUCUGUAGUAAGGGCCUAUGGCCUUCAAGGGCAUGUGUUAUAGGCGCAACCCUUACAGUAGACAAGCUGUAUGGGCCUUAUUAGAGAUUAAUUCCCAUCGAG
rnacentral:rRNA from 1 species